UAUUUGGGGCUGGUUACUUUCAAUACACUGCAGACAGGAAAGCAACUGAAAAGUAGAAUUUACUUACCCUUUGUAAGAGACAUUUACAUUGUAAAGGAAAUCUCCAUCUGUAAAGGUGUCUCCCUCUCUGUACCAGGAAGAAGGGGGGAUGACCUUAUCUCUAGAAACUCUUAUCAAUGCAGAAGGCAAGGACUUAAAUCUGCAUAAUAAUCUUAUUCCUGUUUACUGUUCUUGUCUGGUAACCUCCUGUAACUGACUCACCCCCACCGCCAACAUCCUCCUUUGUCUUUAGCUGUGGAGGAUAUUUAAGGCAGGGGCUUCAGCCAUUUUGGUGAGUUGCUCAGCUUGCCUGAGCCUCUCCCAUGUAUACAUGUUAUAAAGCUUUGUUUAAUUUUCUCCUGCUAUUCUGUCUCAUGCGAAUUUAAUUCGUUCUCUGGACAGAAGAACACGCAGUGGGUAGAGGAAAUGUCUUCCUCCCCUACACAGGGGAGCACUAAAAGUCUGGAGAGUGUGGGGAGGACUUCCCCUCAGAACCCUCAGAAAGAGCUGGGCCUGCCGACGCCGUGAUGUUGGGCUUCUGGCCUCCAGGACUGGGAGAGAAUAGACUUCUGGUGUUUUAAGCCACCUCAUUUGUGGUACUUUGUCACAGCAGCCCUGGGAAAUGAAUACAGAGAGGUUAAGCCAUUUGCCCAUGGUCACACAGCUCGUGUUGUGGUGGAGGGAAUGUCCGCUGGGGGCGUGUGUCUCAAAGCUGAUGUUUCUAGCUUUCUUCUCUGCAGUCACACGCUCCAGAGCAGUGCUGAACGUUAUGCUGGAAGGGACCCCUAAUCAGACGGCCAGCCAUGAGCCCAGGAGAGCAGACCCGCCUUUCCUCUGCUCCCUGCUCCCCCUCGCCUUGGGCAAAGGCAGAGAGUUUCCUCAUGCAGGAAAGGAGGACAAGUUGGAGCCCCAGUGUUGUUGCAGCAAAUGUGGCAGUGAAGGUGACCGUGUCAGGGGCUGAAGCAGGACCUUCAAGAGCAGAGAAGCAGCAGGCACCCUCUGUUCUGUCACUCCCCAUCCACGAGGCACGGCAAGUAAAGCCGCGGGGGUUUCCUCCUUUCGUCCCUCUCCUUGGCUUUGUCUGAGCCCGGCCCACUGUGGCCUCUCCAGUCUGGCUCUUAGUAUGCGCAGCUCUCCCUAAGCUUCCAAGUGGGAUG
rnacentral:lncRNA from 1 species